GCCGUCGUAGCUUAACGGAUAAAGCAGACCCGUCCUAAGGGUAAGACUAGAGGUUCAAUUCCUCUCGACGGCA
rnacentral:tRNA from 4 species